UGGAAGAUGAAUGCACACAUGUGCGGCCAGAGCAGGGUCAAUGCUGUGGUAACCACCAAGACACGGGAGCUCCCCUUCUCCAGAGAAAAGGGAAGGUAGGGCCAGAAGAGCAAUUCUCCAGGCCCAGAAGUAAGCUACACCCACAAUUCUGUAUGCAGCUGUGAGAAAGGAGAGUGGAAAUCCAAGUGAAUGCAGUAUCACCGUGUUCCCAAUAAUGAGUAUUCCACUGGGCCCACUGGCUGCCAAGACAUGGAUGGGAUCCAGUGGAAUGCCACAUUAACCUACAUACAGCUAGAAAACUGACAGCAUAUCUCAACUCAAUUACCUUGAAUCACAACUCUGGUAAAAGUUUCAGCAAUGGAAGAGUUAAAAUGAUUCACUAGAUGGAAGUUCUGGAUAAUUGGUUGACUUUAGCCACGGAUAAUUAAGAGUGAUGGAAUCCUCAUUUCACUAUCAAGGAAGCUGUGGUCAAGGUCAAACAGAUGAGCGCCUUGGAAUUCCAUGGAAGACAGCACAAAACCAAUAAAACCACUGGUGUUCAGUUA